GUUCGCGGGGCUCCGGUGCCGCUGACCCCGCCAACCGUUUUCUCCCGCCGGGAAAAGCAGCAGAAAAUGGCGCUGAGAGCGCGGGAUCGGCGUCGGGACCGGGUUGAGGCAGCCAACAAGAGAAACGCCUGUGUGAGGAGCGGGGGAUGCUUAAGGGUACCACAACAAAGAUGGCGGCUCAGCCGGGAGUGGCUUCUGCCAGUACCAAAGAUUGCGGAGAGGAAAUCCAGGAGAAACGGCUGCUGGCAUCCUGGGCUUGCCAGGCAGGUUUUGUACUUGAUUGCAAGGCAGUUUUCCUGCCUCUGCAAGGGGUGAAAACUGGAAAGGGGGGACAAAAAAGGGUCACUUUUACGCCACACCCAAGAUGGCGGCUCAGGGCGGCACUCACUUGCCCUUCCGAUGAUGGCGGCAGUGUGCUCAUGCGCCUUGGGUAAGGGGAAGAGAGGGCGGUACAGGAAAUACCCCGCUCCGUCUGAUGGUAAGAGUGCUUUCUCCUGGGUCUGGGCGGCAUUGAGGUCGCAACGAGUUCCAAAUUAUCCUUGUGCCUCUCCUGUUGUGACUAAAUCGGUGUUCCCUGAGUGUCUGCAGCUCCCUGCGUGUGGAGGGAAGAAGCCUGUGCUGGAGAAUGGGAGGAAGGUCCCUGCUGGUUGCUGUGUCCUCGGUGGGCACAGAACUCUGGCCAGAUGGCUUGGACAAGGAGAACCACUGAAGUUGUCCUGGCCUUGCCAAGGUGUUUGAGCUGCCAAACCCAAACUGGUCCUGAUGAUGGAGGACUUAAGAAAUUACUCAAUCCAGCUAAAUGCUUUAAAAAGGCAGAUGGUUUGGUUAUAGAAAUAUUUCUGCCUGAGACUGGGAAGAGAUUGGGAAAAGUUAAACCCCCCAAUUCUGCAUAACAGCACAAGGAUUUUUUAAUUCUUUGCCUUUUUUUCCCUUCCUUUGAAUGGGUUUGUUUGUUUCCCCUUGGAGACUGCACACAUAAUAGGCAGAUUUUUCAAUUAAGCCAUUUUUUCCCACUUUUAGUCUUCAAUGGAGCCCAGGUGCCAAUUGUUUGCUGCUUGGUUUCUGCCUUCCCUUUCCUGCCUACAGCUUAAGCCCUUUCUCUCCUUCCUGCUUUUUGGCCAUCACUGGUCAUGCAGAUGAUGCUGAUGCAGAUGGCUGAUAAAUAAUUAUCAAACAGCUUGGGAAUGGUCUGUAUCAGCUAUCAGUGACAUUAAAAAAUGCAGUAUAUGGACCAUCAAGCAAUGAAUUUAGCAACAGUUGGAUAGUAACUAAUCAUCUUUCCUUUGAAGCCCUCUUCAUAGCAUAUUUCCUUAUAAAGGGAAAGCAUUUGGUUUUUAUUUUAUAAAAUACUACAAAUCACCAGCAGCCAGCUUAAGCGAGCAUGGCAGACUGACAAAGACAUGGUAAUGUUUUUUCUUUUAAAUCCCUCACAAGCCCAUCCCCUACUGGGGAGGCAGCUCAGCGAGUUUCAGCCCACAGCUGCCAUCCUGUGCUCAUGGAGAGCAACCUCUCCAGCUGUCCCAGCCUCAGGAAAGCACAGAAGAGGGCUUUACACAGAUCAGGGAUUAAGCUAGACCCAGGUUGGGCUCAGCUCAGUCACCAUGGCGCUGUUAGAGGCCUUAAACCCUUUUUCUAUCGGAUUGAUUGAUGGUGGUUGUGGUGCAGCCACUGUGUUGCUGUCAAUGUGCUCCCCUGCAGCCUAGGUUGACACGGUGAGCAGGGGCUUGGGGUUCUGUCUCAUGUGUGAAACAUCAAACCAGAAGAUAAAACAACAGCUAAAAGCCCUGCCCUGCCAUGUGCCUCACUCUGCACCACUGCUAUGAGAGGAGGGUGAAAGACCCAGUCAGUUUUAGCUCUGUAAAGCAGCUGCAGAGCAGUGAUGAGUGCCUGAAUCACAUCCCCUGCAGCCAUCAGGGGAGUGAGGGCAGGGAAAAGGGCAGAGAAAGGGAAAUAAAAAACCAACAGAGCCACCAAGACUGGAGGAUGUGAGGAUGAAUCCAAAACUAUGCUCUCCAAGAACUGAAAGAACACAUUUCUUAAAACAAGACAUCCAAACUGGAAUGAGGGACUUGCACUCUUUCCAGAUCUUCCCAGCACCAUAACCCAUUAAAAAAAAAAAAAAAAAAAAAAAA